AGCAAUUAGCAUACAUGGCGCACUUGACAAGCACGUGCUAACGUGGACAUCCAUCUGCCUGCUCACAAUAACAAAGCCGAAAUGAAAAUUUUGCCAGUGUUAUUUAUUUCACAGAAACGUGUAGAAAUCGCACGAUUUGCAACGAAGAGCGACGAUGGCGAAUAUGAACGUUGACUGGAGAAAAAAAAAAAAGAGAGAAAUGUAAGAAAGAAUCGCGAGCCACCUCUCGGAGAUCGUUAGGCGUACGUCUCUAAUUGACGCUAAAUAAUAUUUUUUCCCCCUCUUCGAGAUCCGCGCCAAUCUUCUUGUCCACGCGGGCUUCUUCGAACAGACCUAUUCCUGUACGACAAUAUUCGCGUUGGCAAUCAGCACGUCGGUGCGAGAGGACAACGGUUACGUUUGCGGGCGCUUCAUUAUGCGCGGCGUCGACGACAACCAUGACCACGAAGACGUCGCAUCGUCGUUGCUCUCGACUCGGCACUAACGAGGGGACUACUCUUUGACCGAGGUAUCAACGUCCGUAAAACGUCUGGACACUGACCAACACCGCCGUCGAGGUAUACUCGACUAUAUAUCAAGUAGAACAAAGAUCAACACUAUAAUAGAUCGACACUAUUUACAGAAAGCCUGAUAUGCAUGUGGAGAUGCAUGUAUAUACGAACGAGGGAAUCACCGUCAAGUAUCAAAGGAUCACGGAGGCGUCGAGCUGACUGAUACAAAAGUGAAACCUACGACGACCGGGAGAGAGAUAAAGAUUUUUUACACUCUACGUGGCAGCGCUCAACAAUGAUCGUUCACGCAUCAUUUAUAGGGACAGAUUCCCUGUGUCGAACUACUAAAGUAUUGAUGCAGAAAUCAUGCUCGCCGCGUUCAUCACCCCGUAUUUUGAGAGGGCGAUCGAUGGAGGAAAGCGGUAUGAUAAUUUACCAAUUAUCCAUGACGACCGUGAGCCCUUCGGCGCUCACGUAGUAGACGUCGAUCGCUUCGAUCUGGCGUGAGAGUGCAACGGUGAAAAGCAUUGAGUCAGCUUGUCGCGAAAAGACCAAGUACGAACUGUAAUCGAGAUCGAUCUACAUGCAAACUACUGUAUAUUGCAAAGAUGCGACAAGAAUUAUACGCUUAUUUGAAUGUUUAAGAC